rnacentral:rRNA from 1 species
UACGAAGGGGGCUAGCGUUGCUCGGAAUCACUGGGCGUAAAGGGUGCGUAGGCGGGUUCUUAAGUCAGAGGUGAAAUCCUGGAGCUCAACUCCAGAACUGCCUUUGAUACUGAGAGUCUUGAGUUCGAGAGAGGUGAGUGGAACUGCGAGUGUAGAGGUGAAAUUCGUAGAUAUUCGCAAGAACACCAGUGGCGAAGGCGGCUCACUGGCUCGAUACUGACGCUGAGGCACGAAAGCGUGGGGAGCAAACAGG